CAGCAGCCGCGGUAAUACGGGGGAUGCAAGUGUUAUCCGGAAUUACUUGGCGUAAAGCGUCUGUAGGUUGUUUAAUAAGUCAACUGUUAAAUCUUGAGGCUUAACCUCAAAACAGCAGUCGAAACUAUUAGACUAGAGUAUAGUAGGGGUAAAGGGAAUUUCCAGUGGAGCGGUGAAAUGCGUAGAUAUUGGAAAGAACACCGAUGGCGAAAGCACUUUACUGGGCUAUUACUAACACUCAGAGACGAAAGCUAGGGUAGCAAAUGGGAUUAGAUACCCCAGUAGUCCUAGCUGUAAACAAUGGAUACUAGAUGUUGAACAGAUCGACCUGUGCAGUAUUAAAGCUAACGCGUUAAGUAUCCCGCCUGGGAAGUAUGCUCGCAAGAGUGAAACUUAAAGGAAUUGACGG
rnacentral:rRNA from 1 species